GACGAACGCUGGCGGCGUGCUUAACACAUGCAAGUCGAACGGAAAGGCCCUGGUUUGGUGGGGUGCUCGAGUGGCGAACGGGUGAGUAACACGUGAGUAACCUGCCCUUGACUUUGGGAUAACUUCAGGAAACUGGGGCUAAUACCGGAUAGGAGCUCCUGCUGCAUGGUGGGGGGUGGAAAGGUUCGGCGGUUGGGGAUGGACUCGCGGCUUAUCAGCUUGUUGGUGGGGUAGUGGCUUACCAAGGCGUUGACGGGUAGCCGGCCUGAGAGGGUGACCGGCCACAUUGGGACUGAGAUACGGCCCAGACUCCUACGGGAGGCAGCAGUGGGGAAUAUUGCACAAUGGGCGGAAGCCUGAUGCAGCAACGCCGCGUGCGGGAUGACGGCCUUCGGGUUGUAAACCGCUUUCGCCUGUGACGAAGCGUGAGUGACGGUAAUGGGUAAAGAAGCACCGGCUAACUACGUG
rnacentral:rRNA from 1 species